rnacentral:rRNA from 1 species
GUCUUUAAGAAAUUAAUUUAAAGUCUAAUCUGCCCAAUGAAUUUAUUUAAAUGGCUGAAGGAUUUAACUGUACUAAGGUAGCAUAAUAAUUUGUUUUUUAAUUAAAAACUAGAAUGAAAGAUUGAAUGAAAUACAAACUUUUUUAAUUAAAUUUUAUUGGGGUAAUAAAAAAAAUAAAAUAAUUUUUUUUUUAAAUAUAUUUUAAAUAAAUAAUUUAUCUUAAAAUUUAAAUUAAAAAAAUUAAUUACCUUAGGGAUAACAGCAUAAUUUUUUUUGGAAGAUCUUAUUAAUAAAAAANAUUAUGACCUCNAUGUUGAAUU